rnacentral:rRNA from 1 species
CCUACGGGAGGCAGCAGUGGGGAAUAUUGCGCAAUGGGCGAAAGCCUGACGCAGCGACGCCGCGUGAGGGAUGAAGGUCUUCGGAUCGUAAACCUCUGUCAGCAGGGAAGAACGGUCACUGUGCUAAUCAGCAGUGAAUUGACGGUACCUGCAAAGGAAGCACCGGCUAACUCCGUGCCAGCAGCCGCGGUAAUACGGAGGGUGCGAGCGUUAAUCGGAAUUACUGGGCGUAAAGCGCUCGUAGGCGGUAUGUCAAGGCAAGGGUGAAAUCCCCGCGCUCAACGUGGGAACUGCCGUUGAAACUGGGAAACUGGAGUGUGUGAGAGGAUAGUGGAAUGCCAGGUGUAGGAGUGAAAUCCGUAGAUAUCUGGAGGAACAUCAGUGGCGAAGGCGACUAUCUGGAACAUAACUGACGCUGAGGAGCGAAAGCGUGGGUAGCAAACAGGAUUAGAUACCCUAGUAGUC